GAACGUCCUCACCUGAAAUUGAAAGGUAGAACAAAGGCAGUCAAGGGUGCAAGGAUAUUAGAAGCUGUGUUCUGUGAGCUUUCAUGAAGGCUGUGGAAGGAUCCAGGCAGGAUGGCCUCAAAUUAAGAUUUUAAUGACUCUUUGGUUUAGAAAACACACUCUUGCUGUUAACGCUAUCUUAUCAGGUAUCAUUUUUGAAUUCACAGAUGAAAGUUAAAAAAUUCAUAAUUAUACAAAUACUUGCCUUGUA
ensembl:lncRNA novel transcript